rnacentral:rRNA from 1 species
UGGGAAGGUAAAAAAACGUAACAAGGUUUCCGUAGGUGAACCUGCGGAAGGAUCAUUAAAAAUUUAAUUGUUUACACGUUUACGUUUAACAUAUACAACUAACCAACUUAAUUAUGUCAACAACAACAACCAAAAAUCAAAACUUUCAACAACGGAUCUCUUGGUUCUCGCAUCGAUGAAGAACGCAGCGAAAUGCGAUAAGUAAUAUGAAUUGCAGAUUUUCGUGAAUCAUCGAAUCUUUGAACGCACAUUGCACCUUGUGGUAUUCCACAAGGUAUGCCUGUUUGAGCGUCAUUUCUCCCUCAACCCCCGCGGGUUGGCGUUGAAUGGCACGAGCUCUUAGUCAGUCCAUUCGAAAAGUAUUUUUCUUGUGUUGUUAUUUUCUAAUUUAGUAGUGACAACCACACUAAAAACACAUUCCUCAAAUCAGGUCUAUAUCCUUAACCCGCGA